rnacentral:tRNA from 1 species
GGGAGAGGCAUGACCGCAACGAAACCUGCUAAUUUUCGCCACCUUGGUUAAACCCCAAGGCUCACCCG